CCUACGGGUGGCAGCAGUGGGGAAUAUUGCACAAUGGGGGAAACCCUGAUGCAGCGACGCCGCGUGAGUGAAGAAGUAUCUCGGUAUGUAAAGCUCUAUCAGCAGGGAAGAAAAUGACGGUACCUGACUAAGAAGCCCCGGCUAACUACGUGCCAGCAGCCGCGGUAAUACGUAGGGGGCAAGCGUUAUCCGGAUUUACUGGGUGUAAAGGGAGCGUAGACGGUGGGGCAAGUCUGGAGUGAAAGGCCGGGGGUUAACCCCGGAACUGCUUUGGAAACUGUCAUGCUGGAGUGCUGGAGAGGUAAGUGGAAUUCCUAGUGUAGCGGUGAAAUGCGUAGAGAUUAGGAGGAACACCAGUGGCGAAGGCGGCUCACUGGGCUGUCACUGACGCUGAGGCGCGAAAGCUUGGGGAGCGAACAGGAUUAGAUACCCCGGUAGUC
rnacentral:rRNA from 1 species